GACGAACGCUGGCGGCGGGCUUAACACAUGCAAGUCGAACGGAAAGGCCCUGCGUGUGUGGGCUUCUCGAUUGGCGAACGGGUGAGUAACACGUGAGUAACCUACCCUAGACUUUGGUAUAACUUCAGGAAACUGGGGCUAAUACCGUAUAGGAUCUCCUGCUCCAGUGUGGGGGGGGGAUAUUUGAGGCUGUUGGGGAUGGAUGCGCGGCUGAUCAGCUUGUUGGUGGGGGAGUGGCUGACCAAGGCUUGGACGGGUAGCCGGCCUGAGAGGGUGGACGGGCACAUUACGACUGCGAUACGGCCCAGAGUCGAAUGGGAGGCAGUAGUGGGGAAUAUUGUCCAGUCGGAGGACGCCUGAUGAAGAAACGCUGCGUGCGGGAUGCCGGCCUUUGGGUAGUAAACAGCUUCAGGCUGUGACGAAGCGUGAGUGACGGUACUGGGUAAAGAAGCACCGGCUAACUACGUG
rnacentral:rRNA from 1 species